AUGCGUGUAGCUCAGUCUGGUAGAGCGCAAGUCCGACCCACUUGAAGGCGUAGGUUCAACUCCUAUCAGGUAUA